rnacentral:rRNA from 1 species
CCUACGGGAGGCAGCAGUGAGGAAUAUUGGUCAAUGGACGAAAGUCUGAACCAGCCAAGUAGCGUGAAGGAUGACUGCCCUAUGGGUUGUAAACUUCUUUUAUAAAGGAAUAAAACGAGGCACGUGUGCCUUUUUGCAUGUACUUUAUGAAUAAGGAUCGGCUAACUCCGUGCCAGCAGCCGCGGUAAUACGGAGGAUCCGAGCGUUAUCCGGUUUUAUUGGGUUUAAGGGGAGCGUGGAUGGGUUGUUAAGUCAGUUUUGAAAGUUUGCGGUUAAACCGUAAAAUUGCAAUUGAUACUGGCAGUCUGGAGUGCAGAUGAGGUAGGCGGAAUUCGUGGUGUAGCGGUGAAAUGCUUAGAUAUCACGAAGAACCCCGAUUGCGAAGGCAGCUUACUAAACUGUGACUGACAUUGAUGCUCGAAAGUGUGGGUAUCAAACAGGAUUAGAUACCCUAGUAGUC